GACGAGGGCGCGAGGCGUUGUCCGGAUUUAUUGGGCGUUAAAGAGCUACGUAGGCGGCUUGUCGCGUCGAAUGUGAAAUCUCAGGGCUCAACUCUGACAUUGCAUUCGAUACGGGCAGGCUAGAGUUCGGUAGGGGGAGACUGGAAUUCCUGGUGUAGCGGUGAAAUGCGCAGAUAUCGGGAAGAACACCCGUGGCGAAGGCGGCUCUCUGGGACGGUACUGACGCUGAGACGCGAAAAGCGUGGGGAGCGAACAGG
rnacentral:rRNA from 1 species